UACGCAGGGGGCAAGCGUUGUCCGGAUUUAUUGGGCGUAAAGAGCGUGUAGGCGGUUAGGUAGGUCCGUUGUGAAAACUCGAGGCUCAACCUCGAGACGCCGAUGGAAACCAUCUGACUAGAGUCCGGAAGAGGAGAGUGGAAUUCCUGGUGUAGCGGUGAAAUGCGCAGAUAUCAGGAAGAACACCCGUGGCUAAGGCGGCUCUCUAGUACGUGACUGACGCUGAGACGCGAAAGCGUGGGGAGCGAACAGG
rnacentral:rRNA from 1 species